GCCGAAGUGGCGGAAUGGCAGACGCGCUGCGUUCAGGGCGCAGUGGGCACAAGCCCGUGUGGGUUCAACUCCCACCUUCGGCACCA
rnacentral:tRNA from 1 species